UACGUAGGUGACAAGCGUUGUCCGGAUUUACUGGGCGUAAAGGGCGCGUAGGCGGCCUGUUAAGUCGAACGUGAAAUCCCCGGGCUCAACCCGGGAACUGCGUCCGAUACUGGCAGGCUUGAAUUCGGGAGAGGGAUGCGGAAUUCCAGGUGUAGCGGUGAAAUGCGUAGAUAUCUGGAGGAACACCGGUGGCGAAGGCGGCAUCCUGGACCGAGAUUGACGCUGAGGCGCGAAAGCCAGGGGAGCAAACGGG
rnacentral:rRNA from 1 species